AUUGAACGCUGGCGGCAUGCUUUACACAUGCAAGUCGAACGGUAACAGGCCGCAAGGUGCUGACGAGUGGCGAACGGGUGAGUAAUGCAUCGGAACGUGCCCAGUCGUGGGGGAUAACGCAGCGAAAGCUGCGCUAAUACCGCAUACGAUCUCUGGAUGAAAGCGGGGGACCGAAAGGCCUCGCGCGAUUGGAGCGGCCGAUGUCAGAUUAGGUAGUUGGUGGGGUAAAGGCCCACCAAGCCAACGAACUGUAGCUGGUCUGAGAGGACGACCAGCCACACUGGGACUGAGACACGGCCCAGACUCCUACGGGAGGCAGCAGCGGGGAAUUUUGGACAAUGGGCGCAAGCCUGAUCCAGCAAUGCCGCGUGCAGGAAGAAGGCCUUCGGGUUGUAAACUGCUUUUGUACGGAACGAAACGGUCCGGGCUAAUACCCUGGGCUAAUGACGGUACCGUAAGAAUAAGCACCGGCUAACUACGUGCCAGCCGCCGCCGUAA
rnacentral:rRNA from 1 species